ensembl:lncRNA
CCACCCUGUAUGUCAGCUCUUGUGUUCAGUCUGUGUGGAAGCAUUGUUUGCAUGUACUGGUCACUAUGUCAAUCGGCCAAACCAAUGUUAUAUGGUUUGUUCGGUCCUGCUCUGUGUCUCACCGCAUUUCCUUUGUAAGUUCUGUCUUUCCUUCUUAGUCUGUGUUCCUGCCGUCCUGCUAUUUGUCCUGCCUGCUCUUUUUUCUUUGCCCACCUGUGUUUCGGUCUCAUCCUGCCUAUCGUCACUUCUGCCUGCCACAGUUUGGGAUUAUUUUCUGUCUAAUGUCCUUAGUUUAAAAAAAAAAAACUUUAUGGAGCAGGUGUUCCACUACGUGCGAGUUUGUACUGACUACCUCCCCGCUGACCUGGAGACUUUGGUACUUUCCGUCCUUUCAGACACAGCCCUAGACUGGGUGGGAGGGCUGUGGUCUAAGGAAGAGACUCCCUUGUUCAUCGGAGGCGUUCCUCAGACUAUUUCAACGGAAGUUUGGUAACAAAGCACCCGACAAUUCAGGGUCUCCCAAGUCUUCUCCCCCCUGAACUCCCAAUGGACCUUCGUCCAUUAGGCUCUUCACCUUCCUUGGCAGGUACCCAGAACCUGAGCCGAUGAAACCCACCGUCCACGAUCCUGAGCCAAUGAAGCCUGGCGUCCACGACCCUUGGCCAGGGAGACAAGGCUUCCCGGAACCCGAGCCGAUCCCGUCCAGCGUCCCGGAACCCGAGCCGGACCCAUCCGGCGUUAUGGAAACCCGAGCAGUUCCGUCUGGCGUCCCGGAACCCAUGUCAGACCCAUCCAGCAAAUACGGUCUUGUUGAGGUCAGGUCGCCAGAGCCCCCUACCACGGUCAGUGCAAUGGUGCCCCCUGGAGAGGUCAAACCCCUGGCACCUCCUUUUAUCUUCUGACCUACACAUGCUGUCCUCCAGUAUACACAUCCUGUCCACUAACCAAAUCAUCCUGUCCUCUGGACUACAUACCCUGCACACCGACCUGUCAACCCUGUCCAUCAACCUGUGCAAACCCUGACAGUACAGGAACACAAAGCCUUCUACGCCUCCGCCGAUGUCUGCACGGUCAGCGUUCCCUCCUAGGACCCUGUAAACUCCACCCAGUCUCCGCCCAAUCAACCUUUUGUUUGAUUGUUUGUCUGCCUUGUUUGUGGGCUGCCUGCCUGUUUGCAAAACAAAAGGGAAAAUGAAGAUAAAGAAUAAAAAUACACAUUCAUUUUAAGUUUUGCUUGCAGACUAGGUUGAAACAUUUCAAUAUAUUAGGAAAAAUACCAUAACAGAGCAAUCAGAAACUUCAUUUUAUUCUUU